GUGCUCGCUUCAGCAGCACAUAUACUAAAAUUGGAACGAUACAGAGAAGAUUAGCAUGGCCCCUGUGCAAGGAUGACAUGCAAACUCGUGAAGUGUUCCAUAUUUUA
rnacentral:snRNA from 1 species